UGCUUUAUUAGUAUAUACAUUACAUUUGACUUCCAAUCAAAAAACCUUAUCUAAACAUGAGAUAAAGCAA
rnacentral:tRNA from 1 species